GGUCUAUGAAGUACUAGGGAAGUGAAAUCAUUACAGAAAAUCGCAUGUUCAGAAGAAAAAGAAAAUGAGGCUAAUUAAAAGGGAUGGUGAUUAAAAUUAUGGUCCAAUUCAUAAUUCUUCAGUUAUUUUUGUGAGAUUAACAUCUGUAUAUUAAAAAUUGUGUUACAAACACAAAACAUACGAGCACCUCUAAGCUCAAAAAUAAAAAUUAUGCACAGUGGAGAAAUCAACAGCAUGCUAAUGACCAUUUGUUUUGCUCAUUAGUGAGAUGGAUAACUGGUGAAGUGAAUAUUCUCUACCAUAAUUUUUCAUUAAAGAAACAUUUUUCUUCUGAACUAGCAGCUUGUUUUAAACAGAGCAGAGCCAAUAACAGGCUCUCAAAAUGUGUUAGGAGAUGAUUGUUCUUCAGUCGCUCAGUCAUGUCCAACUCUGUGACCCCAUGGACUGCAGCAUACCAGGCUUCCCUGUGCUUCACCAUCUCCCAGAGUUUGCUCAAAUUCAUGUCCAUUGAGUCAGUAAUGCCAUCCAACCAUCUCAUCCUCUGUCAUCCUCUUCCCCUCCUGCCUUCUAUCUUUCCCAGCAUCAGGGUCUUUUCCAGUGAAUCAGUUCUUUGCAUCAGGUGGCCAAAGUAUUGGAGCUUCAGCUUCAGCAUCAGUCUUUCCAACGAAUAUUCAGGAUUAAUUUCCUUCUGUAUUGGUUAAUUAUGCACAACACUCAGGACUAGUAAAUCCUUGCCUCUUUCAAGAUGUUGGUAGAAAAGAGAGUAGGGGCUAAAGGUCAACCCUCUUUGUAAUGGACAUCUAUUACAUCCCAAAGCAUGCCCUUUGUAUGCCCUUCCUUCUGUUCACAGUAUGAUUAUCACCUCUCCAGUGUGGAAAUCAGAAGUAAAUUCUCAGCCCCUGUAGCGCGUAGGAGGAAGGCACAUGACCAGAGCGCAGCAGGCAGAUACCCCUGCUGGGCCUUACACUCAGACAGGAGGGCCAGGAGCAGCUACAUGCAGGAGGCGGGAGCAGGGACAGCAUCACGUUCCCAGCCAUUGCAAGGCUGGUUUCCUGGCACAGAAGUGCAGUCAGCACCAGGCACAGUGCCCCUCACAUUGAACUUCCGGUGCUUGGCAUCCAACGGAGGCAAUGAAGGAAGUGGUCCAGGAGCCAAGAGAUAAAGUAUGAAAUAUGGAUAUCCUCAAGAGACGAGUAAAGAGAUUCUUUCUUAGAGCUUCCUGCAAGGAAUCCAGCCCUUCCAACACCUGGUUUCAGCUCGUUCAUCUUGUGUCAGACUUCUGCAAAACUGUCCAUCUAGUCAAGGCUAUGGUUUUUCCACUGGCCAUGUAUGGAUGUGAGAGUUGGACUAUAAGGGAAGCUGAGCACCGAAGAAUUGAUGCUUUUGAACAGUGGUGUUGGAGAAGACUCUUGAGAGUCCCUUGGACUGCAAGGAGAUCCAACCAGUCCAUUCUGAAGGAGAUCAGCCCUGAAUAUUCAUUGGAAGGACUGAUGCUGAAGCUGAAACUCCAAUACUUUGGCCACCUGAUGCAAAGAGUUGACUCAUUGGAAAAGACUCUGAUGCUAGGAGGGAUUGGGGGCAGGAAGAGAAGGGGACGACAGAGGAUGAGAUGGCUGGAGGGCAUCACUGACUUGAUGGACAUGAGUUUGGGUAAACUCCAGGAGUUGGUGAUGGACAGGAAGGCCUGGCGUGCUGCAAUUCAUGGGGUUGGCAAAGAGUCGGACACAACUGAGCGACUGACCUGAACUGAACUGAUUCUCUUCUCAGCAAGUGAAACAGUGGCUGCUUUGCUGGAGUGUUUUUUAAUUUUUUUUUCUUUUCCUUUGGCAGUAUUAUACCUGAAUUCCUGAUUAGUAUUGUCAGCAAUGAAGUCCUUUCCUUAGAACUCAUGUCUACAUUCAGUAACUGGCUAUAACAGGAAUAUCUCUGCAGAAUCUAAACUAGUCAGGAGCUGUGCUUCUGGUGUUUCAGUCUCUCAGAGAUGUGCUAAGUUUACUUUCAAGUCUCAAAUUGUAUUGUUAAAUCUGUAAAUGGAUCAAUUAGAUGCCAGUUAGGUACCAAUCUCUGCUUUUAUGACUGUAGUUCAUUUCUUAUUGAAAUAUAAUUCAUGGAACAUAAAAGACACUAUUUUAAAAUGUAUAAUUCAGUGGGUUUGAUAUAACAUUGUACAAUCAUUACUGCCAGCUAAUUUCUGAACAUUUUCAUCACCGCCCCCCAAAAUAUCUUGUACCUGUUAGCAGUCACUCCUAAUUUCCUCCAUUUUCUCACCACCAAUAAUCUACUUUCUUUGUGUAUUUGGCUAUUCUGGCUAUUUCAUAUGAAUGAAGUGAAUUGAAAGUCAUUCAGUCAUGUCCAACUCUUUGCAACCUCAUGGACUACAUAGUCCAUGGAUUUCUCCAGGCCCGAAUACUGGGAGUAGGUAGCUGUUCUUUCUCCAGGGGACCUUCGCAACCCAGGGAUCAAACCCAAGUCUGCAUUGCAGGCAGAUUCUUUACCAGCUGAGCCACUGGGGAAGUUCAACAGGCAAAUACACAGUCUACUUUCUUCGUGUAUUUGCCUAUUCUGGUAUUUAAUAUGAAUAGAAGUAUAUAAUAUGUGGCCUGUUUUGUCUGGCUUCUCUCACUUAGCAUAAUGCUUUCAAAGUUCAUACAUUUUGUAACAUGAAUCAGUACUUUAUUCUUUUUAUUGCUGAAUAAUAUUCCAUUGAAUGAACAUAACAAUUACUUUAUCCAUUAAUCCAUUAUGCGGCAUUGAGUGAGUUAUUGUGAAUAAUGCUGCUAUGAAUGUUCGUUUUCUGUGUUAAUUUGUUUUUGAUCCUCUUGGAUAUGUAGCUAAGAGUAGAAUUGCUAGUUUAUAUAACCUUAUGCUUAACUUUUUUGAGAAACUGUUAAAAUAUUUUCCGCAGAGGCAGCACCAUUUUUCAUUCCCAACACAAUGUAUGAAGAUGCCAACUUCUCCACAUCCUCCUGCACAUCUGUUUUUCCCCAAAAAUGUGAAGAAAUAUUUAACUCAACCAAAAAAAGGCAACCCAAUGAA
ensembl:lncRNA